UUACCGAAUUGUCAAACGGGUUGUUGCUGGUCCUCGAAAGGGGACACGUGCACACUCUGUUUACACAUCCACUCACACCUGUGCACCCUCUGUAGUUCUAUGGUCUGGGAGACUCUGUCUUCCUGCUGUGGUUCUACGUCUUUACACACACACUGUAACAAAGUCUCAAGGAAUGCAUGCAGCGUCUAACGCAAUACAAUACAACUUUCAGCAACGGAUCUCUUGGCUCUCGCAUCGAUGAAGAACGCAGCGAAAUGCGAUAAGUAAUGUGAAUUGCAGAAUUCAGUGAAUCAUCGAAUCUUUGAACGCACCUUGCGCCCCUUGGCUAUUCCGAGGGGCAUGCCUGUUUGAGUAUCAUGAACACCUCAACUCUCAUGGUUUGCCAUGAUGAGCUUGGACUCUGGGGGAUUUGCUGGCCUGUGGUCGGCUCCCCUUAAAUGAAUCAGCCUCCCAGUGUUUGGUGGCAUCACGGGUGUGAUAAUUAUCUACGCUCGCGGUUGUCUGCCG
rnacentral:rRNA from 1 species